rnacentral:lncRNA from 1 species
GAAUCAUGUCAAGAUGGAUGGGAGCUUUGAAGGCUAACGGGCUAAGAGGACUCAAUCAAGUAAGCGAACGAGAAUACGGACGCGCAAGGCUAUACAUGUUUGGAUGUUUCAUCUAGAAGCGUACGCGGUUGAAGAUCGAGUCAAGACACGGAUUGUAUGUGGGUGUAUACGUAGUCACUUAAUUGAGUCAUGUAUGUUAGUUUUUGCAUUAAAUUAUAAAAGAGAUUAAUGUAUUUAAAUGA